UACGAAGGGGGCGAGCGUUGUUCGGAUUUACUGGGCGUAAAGGGCGCGCAGGCGGCUCAUUUUGUCAGGCGUGAAAGCCCCGGGCUUAACCUGGGAACUGCGUUUGAUACGGAUGGGCUAGAGUUCGGGAGAGGAGAGUGGAAUUCCCAGUGUAGAGGUGAAAUUCGUAGAUAUUGGGAAGAACACCGGUGGCGAAGGCGGCUCUCUGGACCGAUACUGACGCUGAGGCGGCGAAAAGCGUGGGGAGCGAACAGG
rnacentral:rRNA from 1 species